UACGAGGGGAGCAAGCGUUGUUCGGAUUUACUGGGCGUAAAGGGCGCGUAGGCGGCUCUACAAGUCACUUGUGAAAUCUCCGGGCUUAACUCGGAACGGUCAAGUGAUACUGUCGAGCUAGAGUACAGAAGGGGCAACUGGAAUUCUCGGUGUAGCGGUGAAAUGCGUAGAUAUCGAGAGGAACACCUGCGGCGAAGGCGGGUUGCUGGGCUGAUACUGACGCUGAGGCGCGAAAGCGUGGGUAGCAAACGGG
rnacentral:rRNA from 1 species